UACGUAGGGUGCGAGCGUUAAUCGGAAUUACUGGGCGUAAAGCGUGCGCAGGCGGUUUUGUAAGCCAGAUGUGAAAUCCCCGGGCUUAACCUGGGAAUGGCAUUUGGGACUGCAAGGCUUGAGUGCGGCAGAGGAGACUGGAAUUCCUGGUGUAGCAGUGAAAUGCGUAGAUAUCAGGAGGAAUACCGAUGGCGAAAGCAGCUGCCUGGGCCUCUAUUGACGCUAAGACUCGAAAGCUGGGGGAGCAAACAGG
rnacentral:rRNA from 1 species